rnacentral:ncRNA from 1 species
AAAUCGGCAAUGAUGAAGAAAAGUAAGGCUUGAUUUACCGCACAGAGAGCUGCCGCACGGUGCGAGGCAGUCGGAAAUAAGUCCCGAAAAUACACUUCUGAGUCGCACACCGAAAGGUUUCUUCCAAGUAGGCUGUGCCGGGCGCGCCCGUUAAAGCGCAAGGGUUUUAUACGAAACCCGCAAAGGUCUGUCCCGCGAGGAACAGACGAAUUGAGGUGGUAACACGGAACUUCCGUCCUCUGC